rnacentral:rRNA from 1 species
AACGUAGGUGGCGAGCGUUAUCCGGAUUUACUGGGCGUAAAGGGUGUGCGGGCGGAAACUCAAGUGGUGUAUGAAAUCGCCCGGCUCAACCGGGUGGGGUUAUGCCAGACUGGGUUUCUAGAGACCGAGAGAGGGGCGUGGAAUUCCGGGUGUAGUGGUGAAAUGCGUAGAGAUCCGGAGGAACCCCAGAGGCGAAGGCGGCGCCCUAGCUCGGUUCUGACGCUCAGACACGAAAGCAUGGGGAGCGAACGGG